rnacentral:rRNA from 1 species
AUUGAACGCUGGCGGCAGGCCUAACACAUGCAAGUAGAGCGGAGCGGCGGACGGGUGAGUAAUGCCUAGGAAUCUGCCUGGUAGUGGGGGAUAACGUCCGGAAACGGGCGCUAAUAUCUCAUCCUAUCAGAUGAGCCUAGGUCGGCUUAGCUAGUUGGUGGGGUAAAGGCCUACCAGGGCGACGAGCCGUAACUGGUCUGAGAGGAUGAUCAGUCACACUGGAACUGAGACACGGUCCAGACUCCGACGUGAGGCAGCAGUGGGGAAGAGUGGACAAUGGGCGAAAGCCGGAUCCAGCCAUGCCGCGUGUGUGAAGAAGGGCUUCGGAUUGUAAAGCACUUUAAGUUGGGAGGCGUUACCAACAGAAUAAGCACCGGCUAACUUCGUGCCAGCCGCCGCGGUAAUAC